AUACGUAGGGGGCGAGCGUUGUCCGGAAUGAUUGGGCGUAAAGGGCGCGUAGGCGGCCCGGUAAGUCUGGAGUGAAAGUCCUGUUUUUAAGAUGGGAAUUGCUUUGGAUACUGUCGGGCUUGAGUGCAGGAGAGGUAAGUGGAAUUCCCAGUGUAGCGGUGAAAUGCGUAGAGAUUGGGAGGAACACCAGUGGCGAAGGCGACUUACUGGACUGUAACUGACGCUGAGGCGCGAAAGUGUGGGGAGCAAACAGGAUUAGAAACCCUGGUAGUCCACACUGUAAACGAUGAAUGCUAGGUGUAGGGGGUAUCGACCCCUUCUGUGCCGCAGUCAACACAAUAAGCAUUCCGCCUGGGGAGUACGGCCGCAAGGUUGAAACUCAAAGGAAUUGACGGGG
rnacentral:rRNA from 1 species